GUAAGAGCAUUUGGUGGAUGCCUUGGCACAUACAGGCGAUGAAGGACGUGGCACGCUGCGAUAAGCGUUGGGGAGAUGUGAGCAAUCUUUGAUCCAGCGAUUUCCGAAUGGGGGAACCCAUCCUCACCAUUUACUUUUGUUUUGAAGCACUUCGGUGUGACAAAGUGAGAGUAAAUGGGGAAGGAUAUUACCGAGUUGAAUAAAAUAGACUUGGUGAAGCGAACCCGGCGAACUGAAACAUCUCAGUAACCGGAGGAAAAGACAUCAACCGAGAUUCCGUUAGUAGUGGCGAGCGAAAGCGGAUUAGCCCAAACCGAUGUUGUUUCGGCAAUAUCGGGGUUGUAGGACCACGAGAUUUGGUGCGUAAUGAACUGGAACAAGUUGGAAAGCUUGGCCGUAGAGGGUGAUAGCCCCUUACAGGUAAAGACCGUUACCGAUAGUGGUAUCCUGAGUAGCGCGGGGCACGUGAAACCUUGCGUGAAUCUGGCGGGACCAUCCGCCAAGGCUAAAUACUCCUGAGAGACCGAUAGUGAACCAGUACCGUGAGGGAAAGGUGAAAA
rnacentral:rRNA from 1 species